rnacentral:rRNA from 1 species
GCGAAUAGCUCAUUACAACAGCUAUAAUUUACUUGUUCUAUUCCUUUAAACGGAUAACUGCGGUAAUUCUGGAGCCAAUACGUGCUAAAAGCCGAAUUCAGCAAUGAGUUCGGUGCACUUAUCGGAGCAAAACCCUUCCUGGUUUUAUGCUAACUCUGGAUAACACUGCUUAUCGCACGACCUCGUGUCGGCGAAGUUACAUUCAAGUAUCUGCCUUAUCAACUUUCGAUGGUAGUGUAUUGGACUGCCAUGGUGUUGACGGGUAACGGAGAAUCAGGGUUCGACUCCGGAGAGGGAGCCUUAGAAACGGCUACCAUGUCUAAGGACAGCAGCAGGCGCGCAACUUAUCCACUGUUCAUUGAACGAGAUAGUGACGAGAAAUAACAAGUCCGUUCUCUAUGAGGUCGGACAUUGGAAUGGAUGGAAUCUAAACAAUUCCAUGAGUCCCCACGAGAGGGCAAGUCUGGUGCCAGCAGCCGCGGUAAUUCCAGCU